UACGAACUGUGCAAACGUUAUUCGGAAUCACUGGGCUUAAAGGGUGCGUAGGCGGCUUGCCAAGUCGGGGGUGAAAUACUUCAGCUUAACUGGAGAAGUGCCUUCGAUACUGGCGGGCUUGAGGGAGGUAGGGGUCUUUGGAACUUCUGGUGGAGCGGUGAAAUGCGUUGAUAUCAGAAGGAACGCCGGUGGCGAAAGCGAAGGACUGGACCUCUUCUGACGCUGAGGCGCGAAAGCUAGGGGAGCAAACGGG
rnacentral:rRNA from 1 species